rnacentral:tRNA from 1 species
GCUCUCAUAACUUAGUUGGUUAGAGCGCACGCUUAGUAAGCGGAGAUCAUGAGUUUGACUCUCAUUUAAAGCA